rnacentral:rRNA from 1 species
AGCGGCAAAAGCUUAAAUUUGAAAUCUGGCGUCUUUGGCGUCCGAGUUGUAAUUUGAAGAAGGUAUCUUUGGGCCCGGCUCUUGUCUAUGUUCCUUGGAACAGGACGUCACAGAGGGUGAGAAUCCCGUGCGAUGAGAUGACCCGGGUCUGUGUAAAGUUCCUUCGACGAGUCGAGUUGUUUGGGAAUGCAGCUCUAAGUGGGUGGUAAAUUCCAUCUAAAGCUAAAUAUUGGCGAGAGACCGAUAGCGAACAAGUACAGUGAUGGAAAGAUGAAAAGAACUUUGAAAAGAGAGUGAAAAAGUACGUGAAAUUGUUGAAAGGGAAGGGCUUGAGAUCAGACUUGGUAUUUUGCAUGCUGCUCUCUCGGGGGCGGCCGCUGCGGUUUACCGGGCCAGCAUCGGUUUGGAGCGGCAGGAUAAUGGCGGAGGAAUGUGGCACGGCUUCUGCUGUGUGUUAUAGCCUCUGACGAUACUGCCAGCCUAGACCGAGGACUGCGGUUUUUACC